rnacentral:tRNA from 1 species
GGCAUCGUGGCCUAGUUGACAAGGCACUGGUCUAGUAAAUAGGAGGUAGCGAGUUCGAAUCUCGUCGCGGCCU